UACGUAGGGACCAAGCGUUGUUCGGAUUUACUGGGCGUAAAGCGCACGUAGGCGGAUUGUUAAGUCAGGGGUGAAAUCCUGGAGCUCAACUCCAGAACUGCCUUUGAUACUGGCGAUCUUGAGUCCGGGAGAGGUGAGUGGAACUGCGAGUGUAGAGGUGAAAUUCGUAGAUAUUCGCAAGAACACCAGUGGCGAAGGCGGCUCACUGGCCCGGUACUGACGCUGAGGUGCGAAAGCGUGGGGAGCAAACAGGG
rnacentral:rRNA from 1 species